GAGUAAUUAAUUCAAUAGGUAGAAUAUUUCAUUUACAUUGAAAAAGUUAUUGGUUCGAGUCCAUAUAUUACUUA
rnacentral:tRNA from 1 species